GAUGGUACAAAGGGCUGCAAAACCGUGAGGUCGAGCCAAUCCCAUAAAACCAUUCUCAGUUNGGAUUGUAGGCUGCAACUCGCCUACAUGAAGCUGGAAUCGCUAGUAAUCGUGGAUCAGCAUGCCACGGUGAAUACGUUCCCGGGUCUUGUACACACCGCCCGUCACACCACGAAAGUUUGUAACACCCAAAGUCGGUGGGGUAACCUUUAUGGAGCCAGCCGCCUAAGGUGGGACAGAUGAUUGGGGUGAAGUCGUAACAAGGUAACC
rnacentral:rRNA from 1 species